rnacentral:tRNA from 1 species
GCUCGCGUGGCCUAAUGGAUAAGGCACCGGACUCCGGAACCGGGCAUGGAGGUUCAAAUCCUCCGUGGGCU